rnacentral:rRNA from 1 species
UACGAAGGGGGCUAGCGUUGCUCGGAAUCACUGGGCGUAAAGGGUGCGUAGGCGGGUCUUUAAGUCAGGGGUGAAAUCCUGGAGCUCAACUCCAGAACUGCCUUUGAUACUGAAGAUCUUGAGUUCGGGAGAGGUGAGUGGAACUGCGAGUGUAGAGGUGAAAUUCGUAGAUAUUGGGAAGAACACCAGUGGCGAAGGCGGCUCACUGGUCCGAUACUGACGCUGAGGUGCGAAAGCGUGGGGAGCAAACAGG